rnacentral:rRNA from 1 species
GAAUGCUGACAUAAGUAACGAUAAAGCGGGUGAAAAGCCCGCUCGCCGGAAGACCAAGGGUUCCUGUCCAACGUUAAUCGGGGCAGGGUGAGUCGACCCCUAAGGCGAGGCCGAAAGGCGUAGUCGAUGGGAAACAGGUUAAUAUUCCUGUACUUGGUGUUACUGCGAAGGGGGGACGGAGAAGGCUAUGUUGGCCGGGCGACGGUUGUCCCGGUUUAAGCGUGUAGGCUGGUUUUCCAGGCAAAUCCGGAAAAUCAAGGCUGAGGCGUGAUGACGAGGCACUACGGUGCUGAAGCGACAAAUGCCCUGCUUCCAGGAAAAGCCUCUAAGCAUCAGGUAACAUCAAAUCGUACCCCAA